ACAUGCAAGUCGAGGGGCAGCAUGGUCUUAGCUUGCUAAGGCCGAUGGCGACCGGCGCACGGGUGAGUAACACGUAUCCAACCUGCCGUCUACUCUUGGACAGCCUUCUGAAAGGAAGAUUAAUACAAGAUGGCAUCAUGAGUCCGCAUGUUCACAUGAUUAAAGGUAUUCCGGUAGACGAUGGGGAUGCGUUCCAUUAGAUAGUAGGCGGGGUAACGGCCCACCUAGUCUUCGAUGGAUAGGGGUUCUGAGAGGAAGGUCCCCCACAUUGGAACUGAGACACGGUCCAAACUCCUACGGGAGGCAGCAGUGAGGAAUAUUGGUCAAUGGGCGAGAGCCUGAACCAGCCAAGUAGCGUGAAGGAUGACUGCCCUAUGGGUUGUAAACUUCUUUUAUAAAGGAAUAAAGUCGGGUAUGGAUACCCGUUUGCAUGUACUUUAUGAAUAAGGAUCGGCUAACUCCGUGCCAGCAGCCGCGGUAAUACGGAGGAUCCGAGCGUUAUCCGGAUUUAUUGGGUUUAAAGGGAGCGUAGAUGGAUGUUUAAGUCAGUUGUGAAAGUUUGCGGCUCAACCGUAAAAUUGCAGUUGAUACUGGAUAUCUUGAGUGCAGUUGAGGCAGGCGGAAUUCGUGGUGUAGCGGUGAAAUGCUUAGAUAUCACGAAGAACUCCGAUUGCGAAGGCAGCCUGCUAAGCUGCAACUGACAUUGAGGCUCGAAAGUGUGGGUAUCAAACAGGAUUAGAUACCCUGGUAGUCCACACGGUAAACGAUGAAUACUCGCUGUUUGCGAUAUACUGCAAGCGGCCAAGCGAAAGCGUUAAGUAUUCCACCUGGGGAGUACGCCGGCAACGGUGAAACUCAAAGGAAUUGACGGGGGCCCGCACAAGCGGAGGAACAUGUGGUUUAAUUCGAUGAUACGCGAGGAACCUUACCCGGGCUUAAAUUGCAGAUGAAUUACGGUGAAAGCCGUAAGCCGCAAGGCAUCUGUGAAGGUGCUGCAUGGUUGUCGUCAGCUCGUGCCGUGAGGUGUCGGCUUAAGUGCCAUAACGAGCGCAACCCUUGUUGUCAGUUACUAACAGGUUCCGCUGAGGACUCUGACAAGACUGCCAUCGUAAGAUGUGAGGAAGGUGGGGAUGACGUCAAAUCAGCACGGCCCUUACGUCCGGGGCUACACACGUGUUACAAUGGGGGGUACAGAGGGCCGCUACCACGCGAGUGGAUGCCAAUCCCCAAAACCUCUCUCAGUUCGGACUGGAGUCUGCAACCCGACUCCACGAAGCUGGAUUCGCUAGUAAUCGCGCAUCAGCCACGGCGCGGUGAAUACGUUCCCGGGCCUUGUACACACCGCCCGUCAAGCCAUGGGAGCCGG
rnacentral:rRNA from 1 species